rnacentral:tRNA from 1 species
GCCUUGCUAGCUCAAUCGGUAGAGCGUGAGACUCUUAAUCUCAAGGUUGGGGGUUCGACCCCCCCCGUAGGGCU